rnacentral:hammerhead_ribozyme from 1 species
AUCCGGUUGACGAGUCCCAAGUAGGACGAAACGCGCGUCCUGAAU